UACGGGGGGGGUAAGCGUUGUUCGGAAUUACUGGGCGUAAAGGGCUCGUAGGCGGCCAACUAAGUCAUACGUGAAAUCCCUCAGCUUAACUGGGGAACUGCGUGUGAUACUGGAUGGCUUGGAUUUGGGAGAGGGAUGCGGAAUUCCAGGUGUAGCGGUGAAAUGCGUAGAUAUCUGGAGGAACACCGGUGGCGAAGGCGGCAUCCUGGACCGGCAUUGACGCUGAGUGAGCGAAAGCCAGGGGAGCAAACGGG
rnacentral:rRNA from 1 species